rnacentral:rRNA from 1 species
AGUGAACGCUGGCGGUAGGCCUAACACAUGCAAGUCGAACGGCAGCACAGUAAGAGCUUGCUCUUACGGGUGGCGAGUGGCGGGCGGGUGAGGAAUACAUCGGAAUCUACUUUUUCGUGGGGGAUAACGUAGGGAAACUUACGCUAAUACCGCAUACGACCUACGGGUGAAAGCAGGGGAUCUUCGGACCUUGCGCGAUUGUAUGAGCCGAUGUCGGAUUAGCUAGUUGGCGGGGUAAAGGCCCACCAAGGCGACGAUCCGUAGCUGGUCUGAGAGGAUGAUCAGCCACACUGGAACUGAGACACGGUCCAGACUCCUACGGGAGGCAGCAGUGGGGAAUAUUGGACAAAGGGCGCAAGCCUGAUCCAGCCAUACCGCGUGGGUGAAGAAGGCCUUCGGGUUGUAAAGCUCUUUUGUUGGGAAAGAAAAGCAGCAGGUUAAUACCCCGCUGUUCUGACGGUACCCAAAGAAUAAGCACCGGCUAACUUCGUG